UCUGGAUUUAUUGCAAGGGCCAUCUUUUAAUGAAGAUUUUGGGGGUCACGGGAUACUGCUCACAGGAUACAGAACCAGAGGCUGACUCUCUAGGCCCUUGUAUGGAUCCUACUGAGAAACUGGCUAUGAAAGAUUGGGAAAAGCACAUGCACAUCCUCCAUACCUUCUGCUCACAACAUCUACCUGCAAAUAGCACUGUUUGAUCAUCACUUGGAUGGAUGUGUCCAUGGAGAGGAGAACACUGGACAAAAGCACUGAUGAUGACAAACUGCUUUCCUAAAUGUACUUAAUUGUUAAGGACUAGAGGAACAAAUCCAAGUCUCUUUGAAAUCACUGGGAUCAGGAAUAUGUGCUAGUUAAGCAGAAGGAAGAAACUAUUCUGAUGCUUGAUUUGUUCAUGCACAUAAGUAAUUUACUAAAAAAUUCUGUCAGUGGCACUGGCAGGGAAUCAUUCCACAGAGCCAAUAAGAAUUUGAAAACAUCCUGAGCUGCUCGUGGAACAAUCAGUCCAGAUGUAACAGCACUGCUUGUUUAGAGUCAACCAUUGGUGUUGCAAGAGAAUUUGCCUUUAGGUAUUUCUGUUUAGCCUAAUUACACGUAUAUUGUAACAAUACGUAAUUUUUAAAAAUCAUCUUAGCAUCACUUUGCAUUAUAAAAUACAGUUAUGGUCCUUCUAAACAAUGGUCUGAACUUCAGUGCUAAGUGAAUAAAUGCCUGCAAUUUAAAUCUGUGGCAUUUUCUAAACAUCCUUAGAGAGAAUUUAUUUUGGAAAAAUCAUGGCUUUCCUUGUAUUAUUAAAACCUUAAAUUUUGUAGACUCCUUGUGCCCCAAUUCACGGUGUGAGCUGUACUGGAUAUUGGCCAAAACACCCCAGUGUUCAGCACAACAUUACAGUGUAAUUACACACUCAUAGAUGUGUAAUGAGACAAUGUGUAAUAAGACAUCUACCAAUCACACCUUGAUUGGUAGAUGUCCCUGUUUGAGGAAAAUCCAAGGACAAGGGGUUUGUUUGGUACAUUUUUUAUGAUAUAUGGAUAGGAUUUGUUGGGUUUUAUUUCCCCCCUAAUUAAACCACACUAGUGAAUCACACUAGUGAUCCUGACAUGAUCCUGAAAUGUUCUUUAGUUGCAAAAGUUCAGCUACAUGAUUGUAUUUUCUAGUAAAAGUACGGGCCCAGAACUCUUUCCCAACGCACUAAUGUGAACUUCUCCCCACAGAGUCAACAGAAGGCCUUAAAAAAAUUCCCUAGCACAUUAAGUAGACCAUAUAAAAAAAUUAUUACCUUGAGGAACCUGCAAAUCUGAGAGCUGGAUGAGGAAACAAUGAACUACUUCCUCUCAUUUCUGUAAUGGAUGAGAAGGAAAACAGAUCCAUAUGGUACAUAUGUGGAGCAGAGCUUAUUUUAGAGUUAAUCCCAGGACAGGACAUUUUUGUCUGUCCACCUGUGAAUUUCUACUAUUGAUAACACUUACUAAGUACAUAAAAACAAGGUUCUUCGUGGCUGUAAUUUAUGCAGUAUCUGCUACACAUUAGAAAGUCAUCAGUGUUCAGGACAACCUCCAGGAAAGAGUGAUGUUUCAUAAAUUAUAUUGCCAUGUGAAAAUGUUUUUUUUCUCUUUAAAUAAAUAAUGCUGCAACUUCUAAACCUUAAGGAUUUUAUGCUCUGAACUUGAUCAUUAAAAUAAUACCAUAUGUUGGACACAUCUUUAAAACAUAUUUCCCUGGUUUCUGAAGGUGGUGGGAAAACACCCUGUCAACCCACUCAGAAUCUCCAGUCUCCCAGCUGGACACAUGAGUGUAAGAAAAUACCAACUUUCUUUCCCAUAAAUAAGAGAAGGAAAUUUGCUUUCAAUCAAGGAAAUUAGACUGAGUGCAUGAAGGACUAAAAAUGGUCGCAGCACCUGCUCAGACUACUGGAGAAGGUGAAAAAUAGGCACUUUCUAAGCCCACAGAAAUAAUAAUAAUAAUGGAAAUAUUUAUGUGCAUUAACACAUGAGCGAUGUUGGGAGUGAACUACCUGCUUAACAGAUUAUGAACAUGGGGUUCCCUGACCAAAUUAUUUACAGACCAUCACCACACACUAAAAAUACAGAGUUACUGAAAUUGCUACUAUAUUGGUCUAGCAAUCUGAUCGUCCUGGUUUCAAGACGCAGAUUUCAAGAUUCCUCAGAAACACACAGAAAUAUAUGAGAACAGCAUCCCUAAAACUUCUGAAUGAUAAAUGGUGAGUGUUUGGCCCUGGCAAAGGUCUGUACAGCUUGUGAGACACAGUAGAUUACGGUCUCCACGAGGCAGGCACAAGGAGGAGACAAAUCACAACGUGGCCAAAUUCAUCAGACCAGCUCCUCUGAGAUGGGAGAAAGAACUAGAAAUAUACACCAGCACCUAAAUAAAGGAUGUGUAAGUGCUUUCUAUCCAGGCUUGUCAGACCCCCUGUGCUCACAGAGCAUGGAAAUUCUCAAGAGUUUUCUGUUAAUCUCCAACUCUUUUUUAAGUACCCAAGUCAGUCUUGGGCACCCUCGCAUGUUGUUUUAAUAUGGCUACAAAUGACUUGGCAGAGAUUACACAGGGCCUCUGUGGAGCUUCCUAACCACAAAUUACCAUCUCUCCAGGAAAAUGCCUGAAGACUAUCAGACUAUGCUUCCUGAAAAGCCCUGAGUGCAGGGCUGGGUGAUAGAUUUGGUAGUAAAGAUUUGCUUAAUUUGUAAGCAUGCAUAAAUGUUCCAAACUA